rnacentral:lncRNA from 1 species
AUAAUAUAUAUAUAUAUAUAUAUAUAUAUAUAUAAACAACUCAAAAAAAUUAACCCAAAAAACUAAAAAACCAAACAAAUAACCCAAUCAAUAAAUGGGCAAAGGAACUGAAGAGGCAUUUCACAGAAGAAGAAAUACAAUCAUCAACAAAUAUAUAAAAAAUAAUUUUCAACAUCUCUAGAAAUUAGAGAAAUGCAAAUUUAAACUACACUGAGACUCCAUCUCACUUCAUUCAGAAUGGCAAUUACCAAGAAAUAAAGUAAUAGUAAAUGUUGACAAGGAUGUGGGAAAAAGGUAUACUUAUACAUUGCUAAUGGGAAUGCAAAUUGGUGCUACCACUCUGGAAAUCAGUGUGAAAAUUCCUCAGAAAACUACAAUGGAAUCACCAUUUAUCCUAAUCCUCGGUUUAGACUCAAAGGACUUAAAAAUCAGCAUAAUACAGUAAUCCAGCCACAUCAAUGUUUAUAGCAGCUCAAUUCACAAUAGCCAAUCUAUGGAACCAGCCAAUGUACCCUAUAACAGAUGAAUGAAUAAAGGAAAUGUAGUGUUUAUACACACAAUGCAAUAUUACUCAGCCUUAAAGAAGAAUGAAAUUAGAGCAUUUGCUGGUAAAUGAAUGGAACUGGAGACAAUUGUGUUAAGU